GUGUAGGCGAAGCGAAAGCGAGUCUGAAUAGGGCGACUGAGUAUGUUGGAUUAGACCCGAAACCCGGCGAUCUAGGCAUGAGCAGGUUGAAGGUGCGGUAACACGCACUGGAGGACCGAACCGUUUAAUGUUGAAAAAUUAUCGGAUGACUUGUGUUUAGGGGUGAAAGGCCAAUCAAGCCGGGAAAUAGCUGGUUCUCCGCGAAAUCUAUUGAGGUAGAGCGUCAGAUGUAUGCCGAUGGGGGUAGAGCACUGGAUGGGCUAGGGCUGCGCGAGCGGUACCAAACCUAACCAAACUCCGAAUACCAUCGAGUCUUGUCUGGCAGACAGACGGCGGGUGCUAAGGUCCGUCGUCAAAAGGGAAACAGCCCUAACCUACAGCUAAGGUCCCCAAGUCAUAUCUAAGUGGGAAAGCAUGUGGGAAUCCCAAAACAACCAGGAGGUUGGCUUAGAAGCAGCCAUCCUUUUA
rnacentral:rRNA from 1 species